GUAAAGGGUGUUUACUUCCAAGCACUGAUGGAUGCCUGCUGUGCGCCAUGCUCCUUCCAGGCUGUGUGCUUGGGUCAUGGAACAGCACCCGCCAGCUCAGGAGGGCCAGGACGAGGUGGUCAAGACGAGACAUUUAUGGAGCACCUUCUGUGUAGAGAGGCUGGGUGCUGGCCGGUAAUGGGAUGGUGUCAAGAGAAGGCGGCUGCAUGGAAAACAGGUUUGCCGUAGCCUGAAAAAGCCAAGGGUAGCGCUGAGCUCUCACAGACUCAUUGCAGGAUACGAUGUAACCUAAUUAACUACACCAUUAAAUUAAUGUUGUUAAUUUGAA